rnacentral:rRNA from 1 species
CCUACGGGGGGCUGCAGUGAGGAAUAUUGGUCAAUGGACGAGAGUCUGAACCAGCCAAGUAGCGUGAAGGAUGACUGCCCUAUGGGUUGUAAACUUCUUUUAUAUGGGAAUAAAAUGUUCCACGUGUGGGAUUUUGUAUGUACCAUAUGAAUAAGGAUCGGCUAACUCCGUGCCAGCAGCCGCGGUAAUACGGAGGAUCCGAGCGUUAUCCGGAUUUAUUGGGUUUAAAGGGAGCGUAGGUGGAUUGUUAAGUCAGUUGUGAAAGUUUGCGGCUCAACCGUAAAAUUGCAGUUGAAACUGGCAGUCUUGAGUACAGUAGAGGUGGGCGGAAUUCGUGGUGUAGCGGUGAAAUGCUUAGAUAGCACGAAGAACUCCGAUUGCGAAGGCAGUUCACUGGACUGCAACUGACACUGAGGCUCGAAAGUGUGGGUAUCAAACAGGAUUAGAUACCCCUGUAGCC